rnacentral:rRNA from 1 species
ACGGAAGGCAGCAGUGAGGAAUAUUGGUCAAUGGGCGGAAGCCUGAACCAGCCAAGUCGCGUGAAGGAUGAAGGUAUUAUGUAUUGUAAACUCCUUUAGACGUAGAGAAAUAAGAGGCUCGUGAGCCUUGAUGCUAGUAUACGUAGAAUAAGGAUCGGCUAACUCCGUGCCAGCAGCCGCGGUAAUACGGAGGAUCCGAGCGUUAUCCGGAUUUAUUGGGUUUAAAGGGUGCGCAGGCGGCCCUGUAAGUCAGCGGUUAAAUCGUGGAGCUCAACUCCAUCCCGCCGUUGAUACUGCAGGGCUUGAUUGCGGUCGAGGUUGGCGGAAUUCGCCGUGUAGCGGUGAAAUGCAUAGAUAUGGCGAAGAACUCCGAUUGCGUAGGCAGCUGACCAGGCCGUAAAUGACGCUCAUGCACGAAAGUGCGGGGAUCGAACAGGAUUAGAUACCCUGGUA